AUUGGGAACUUGACAGGAAAUGCUCAGCAGCCCAGGAGGAUCUGGAAGAACAAGAGGCAGAGGUUCACGGAAGAAGAUUUGAAAUGAGCGAAAGGUGGAAUACAGAUUGGAGUGUUGAUAAGCAAACGACACCAGUGGCAAUUCUUAAACUAGUGGAAAAUCUCAUCUUUCACUGUUGGAUUGCUGACUGAAAAUUGCAGUGCAGUCUGCCAAAACCAAGAUGGAAGCUAACAAUUGCAAUGAAGUCGCCCAGUAGUUGUGGAUAUUUUACAGGCAUGUAUUCUGUAUGUAUUCUUACAUUCUUUUGAGAAGUCAACACUCAACCAAGCUUAUCGCAAGGGCCAAACCAUGAAAAUCCAAUUUUACCAUGUCAACUAUACAUAUCUGCUAAGGAAACGACAUUCCUUGUCAAAAUGUGAUUCACAUCCUAUCCAAUCCCAAUUAAAAACAUUUAG